GACGAACGCUGGCGGCGUGCCUAAUACAUGCAAGUAGAACGCACAGUUUAUACCGUAGCUUGCUACACCAUAAACUGUGAGUUGCGAACGGGUGAGUAACGCGUAGGUAACCUGCCUGGUAGCGGGGGAUAACUAUUGGAAACGAUAGCUAAUACCGCAUAAUAUUGAUUAUUGCAUGAUAAUUGAUUGAAAGAUGCUAUUGCAUCACUACCAGAUGGACCUGCGUUGUAUUAGCUAGUAGGUGAGGUAACGGCUCACCUAGGCGACGAUACAUAGCCGACCUGAGAGGGUGAUCGGCCACACUGGGACUGAGACACGGCCCAGACUCCUACGGGAGGCAGCAGUAGGGAAUCUUCGGCAAUGGACGAAAGUCUGACCGAGCAACGCCGCGUGAGUGAAGAAGGUGUUCGGAUCGUAAAGCUCUGUUGUAAGAGAAGAACGGGUGUGAGAGUGGAAAGUUCACACUGUGACGGUAUCUUACCAGAAGGGGACGGCUAACUACGU
rnacentral:rRNA from 1 species